CAUGAAGAGAGUUUGGAAGAAGAGAGUUUUGAUAGUUUCCCUCUUUCAACCUGAAGCCAUGACUGUGGAUUCAAAGCAUUGAGUUGUGACUCUUUACAUGACUCAGAUGGGAAGAAAGUCCUCAUUGGGAAUAAGAGAUGAAACAAGUCCCAGAUCUCCACGGUAGCCAGAUGGAUUUUUGCUUCACUUGCUUUCUCUCUACCCCUCCCCCAGCAUCCCCAGAACUCAAACACUACGAAAUUUGAUAGUCAAAAGUUGAAAACAAAAAAGCAAAUAUUUUCUUGUUUUCAUAAAUCGCUCCCUCAGCCCCCAAAGCAACAAAAAUUCAAUACAAAAAAAAAUAAGAAAAAUACAAAAAUAUAAACAAACAAACAGCCACCAAAUACAAUAUCACUAAGUUUUGACAAACAUCAAAUUUUGACCCCAAAAAAGAAGGCAAAAAAAUGACGGGUAAUUCUCACUCAGAGCAGCACUCAAGAUUUCUUGAAUUAGUUGUGAUUCACAGUAAUGAAUAACCAGAACUCCAGAAGCUGCUAUUCUCUAAAAUACAACAAAAAUUAGGUAUCUCC
rnacentral:misc_RNA from 1 species